rnacentral:lncRNA from 1 species
AUUAGACCGUUGGUUUUCCCGUUUGAAUGGUUUUACACUAGUAAUUUUGGGGCCCUUUAUAGCUUGUUGUUCGGUGUGAGGUAAGGCUCCGUGUUGAAGGCCGUACUUUAACCUAUAAUGGUUUACUUUUUAAAUUGUUAUUUGUAUGGAGAGUUGUCUCAUUGGCACUCACACCACAUCUUCCUAUAUCUAUUGUUUGGAAAAGUCA